ensembl:lincRNA
CACCAGCUAAUCCUCCUCUAGUGCUUAUCUCUCAAGCACAGUUCUAAGUUUGUACAUAUAUUUGAAAUCUAUGACAAAUUCUGUAAGUUUGACACUGUUAUCAUCAUGCUCAUAUUCAGGUGGAAAGACUAAGGUGCAGAAGCUAAGCACCUGCCUGAGUUUCCUACAGGUAAGUGGAAAAGAGGGGGCCAACCCCAGAGCUUGAACCUUUCGCUGCUAUGCCACACUGGGUUUGAAGGGUAGUUUUCUUGAGAAUAGAGGGGACACAGUGAUUGGACAGUGAUGCUCUGCUGCCAUAGGCCAGGAAUUCUGUUUCAUUAUGACUCAGGCACAUCACCUUGUGGUUUCUUUAUACAGAGAUCAGCUUCCCUGAUGUAGUUGGAGAAGAAAUGGACAUAAGAGGAACAAGGUCCAGUGUGUCAUCCCACUUCUUACUCUGAUCAUUCUCACGUUCAUCUCUAAGUUUCUUGAGGUUGAAGACUCCCAGAACUGUCUUGAUUGCAGUGAGAGCUGAGGCCUGACGGGGUGAAAUAUCCAACUGUAGCAGUGGAGCAUACAUUGCAUGAAAAAAGUUUCAAAUACUUUUCAAAGCCGUGGACAACUUCAUAAAGUGGAUUUGUGCAGCAACCAGAACAGCCCUAUCUAUGUUCUCACUUGAAAGAAAGCCAAGUAUCAGACAGAGGAGGAUGUCAGUUUCUGUGGCACCCAUGGCAAUUCAGAUGCAGGGUGCAAUGUUAAAGUCUACACCUCUACAUAACUCUUGGAGGCUGGCAAAAGUACAAACGAGCCAAUACUUGUUGAAUACAUACAGUUAUUUCAAGCACUGAGCUGUUUUAUAGUCCUCCAUCAAAUAAAAUAGACAUUCUGAUCCAUUUUAUGGAUAAGUAACCAAAGACUUGGAGUUGUUAAGUAGCCUGCCUAAGGUUACACAAGUGGUAAGUGGCAGAGACUAGAUUUGAAACCCCGUGUGUCAAGGGUCUUUCCUCUAUAUCAGCCUUGCUGCUUCAAUUGUAGAAAAGUAUCCAUUUUAUUGUAGUGGAGGUCUCAGCUGAGCUGAGGUCACAAUUCAGAAUUUACAUGGGGCUAGUGAGUUUAUUGGUGGAAACCUGAAGACAAAUAUUUUGAGUUUUUGUACUGGGGGCCAGGAAUUUUCAUAAAGUAGACUUGUGUGAAUAUAAGGACAGAAACAAAUGGUGUUGAAGGCAUUAUGACAUUAAUUUCUCUACCUGGUCUACCCUCUACGGAGAGAUAAUCUAAAGGCAGAAAUACAUAAGCUGUUUCUAUGAGGAACUUUAUUUAUUUGAUAGCAUCUUAUUCUGGUCACCCAGGCUGGCGUUCAGUGGUGAUCAUUGUUCACUGUCACCUCAAACUCCUGGGCUAAAGUGAUCCUCACUCCCCAGCCUCCAGAGUAGCUAGGACUAUAGGCACACACCAUCACACCCAGCUAAUUUAUAAAUAUUUUUGUAGAGACAAGGUCUCACCACGUUGCCCAGGCUUGUCUCAAACUCCUGGGCUCAAGUGAUCCUCCCGUCUCAGCCUCCCAAAGACCUGGGAUUAUAGAUGGGAGCUAUCCUGCUUGGCCUCAUGGGAAACUUUUUUGUUGUCAUAUGAACAUAGUGUGACAAGGUCAAAGGCUAGAGGAGUAAACAGGGACUAAUUUGUGAAGGGCUUUGGGGCCAAGAGAGAGGGUUAGUACUCCAUCCUCAGAGCAAUAGGAGUUGGUUAAAAGAAUUGAAGCAGGGGAAUAAAAUAGCCAUCUUAG